CUACAAAUGUCCUUUGACUGGGGAGGUCUACCUUAAACAGCCCUCCUCCUCGCAAGGACAAGAUAGCCACUCCUUACUCUACCUCACUUGCCUUUACAAACGGACCCACUCGUUCCUUCCCACCCCUCCUCAUCCGCAACCUGCAGGAGGUGAGAGACUCAGAGUGUGGUGUACAUGGAUCUAUAGGGACAUCUGUGUGGCCCAUGGCUUCUGGAGGAGGUCGGGCAGAAGCUCAGUUUGAAGCUGACCACCAGGAGGGGAGGGGUGAUGAGCACCAAGCUGACAAAGAUCUGAGCCCUGCACACAGCCCACUGCACAUCCAGAUCUUCCUCAGUGGAGCAGUGGUGACUGCCAGCUCCCUGAGGCCUUCCUGGCCAAGCUUGCCUCUGCUCUAACUCAGCAGCGACACAGGAGUUGGGUCCAUAUAAGGUGCUGAUGUAACAACGUACUCUGCCAGAAAAACCUCUAAGCUCAGAAAAGGUUCUUCACGUUGACCAUUCUGCAACCAUUUUGAUUUUUGUGUUCUCGAAACCUGACUUUUAAAAGGAGCUUCUUAGUU
rnacentral:lncRNA from 1 species